rnacentral:rRNA from 1 species
AGAGUUUGAUCCUGGCUCAGGACGAACGCUGGCGGCGUGCCUAAUACAUGCAAGUAGAACGCUGAAGAGAGGAGCUUGCUCUUCUUGGAUGAGUUGCGAACGGGUGAGUAACGCGUAGGUAACCUGCCUUGUAGCGGGGGAUAACUAUUGGAAACGAUAGCUAAUACCGCAUAACAAUGGAUGACACAUGUCAUUUAUUUGAAAGGGGCAAUUGCUCCACUACAAGAUGGACCUGCGUUGUAUUAGCUAGUAGGUGAGGUAAUGGCUCACCUAGGCGACGAUACAUAGCCGACCUGAGAGGGUGAUCGGCCACACUGGGACUGAGACACGGCCCAGACUCCUACGGGAGGCAGCAGUAGGGAAUCUUCGGCAAUGGGGGCAACCCUGACCGAGCAACGCCGCGUGAGUGAAGAAGGUUUUCGGAUCGUAAAGCUCUGUUGUAAGUCAAGAACGGGUGUGAGAGUGGAAAGUUCACACUGUGACGGUAGCUUACCAGAAAGGGACGGCUAACUACGUGCCAGCAGCCGCGGUAAUACGUAGGUCCCGAGCGUUGUCCGGAUUUAUUGGGCGUAAAGCGAGCGCAGGCGGUUUGAUAAGUCUGAAGUUAAAGGCUGUGGCUCAACCAUAGUUCGCUUUGGAAACUGUCAAACUUGAGUGCAGAAGGGGAGAGUGGAAUUCCAUGUGUAGCGGUGAAAUGCGUAGAUAUAUGGAGGAACACCGGUGGCGAAAGCGGCUCUCUGGUCUGUAACUGACGCUGAGGCUCGAAAGCGUGGGGAGCGAACAGGAUUAGAUACCCUGGUAGUCCACGCCGUAAACGAUGAGUGCUAGGUGUUGGAUCCUUUCCGGGAUUCAGUGCCGCAGCUAACGCAUUAAGCACUCCGCCUGGGGAGUACGACCGCAAGGUUGAAACUCAAAGGAAUUGACGGGGGCCCGCACAAGCGGUGGAGCAUGUGGUUUAAUUCGAAGCAACGCGAAGAACCUUACCAGGUCUUGACAUCCCGAUGCUAUUUCUAGAGAUAGAAAGUUACUUCGGUACAUCGGUGACAGGUGGUGCAUGGUUGUCGUCAGCUCGUGUCGUGAGAUGUUGGGUUAAGUCCCGCAACGAGCGCAACCCUUAUUGUUAGUUGCCAUCAUUCAGUUGGGCACUCUAGCGAGACUGCCGGUAAUAAACCGGAGGAAGGUGGGGAUGACGUCAAAUCAUCAUGCCCCUUAUGACCUGGGCUACACACGUGCUACAAUGGUUGGUACAACGAGUUGCGAGUCGGUGACGGCGAGCUAAUCUCUUAAAGCCAAUCUCAGUUCGGAUUGUAGGCUGCAACUCGCCUACAUGAAGUCGGAAUCGCUAGUAAUCGCGGAUCAGCACGCCGCGGUGAAUACGUUCCCGGGCCUUGUACACACCGCCCGUCACACCACGAGAGCUUGUAACACCCGAAGUCGGUGAGGUAACCUUUUGGAGCCAGCCGCCUAAGGUGGGACAGAUGAUUGGGGUGAAGUCGUAACAAGGUA